rnacentral:rRNA from 1 species
UACGGGGGGGGCAAGCGUUGUUCGGAAUUACUGGGCGUAAAGGGCUCGUAGGCGGCCAACUAAGUCCGACGUGAAAUCCCAAGGCUUAACCUUGGAACUGCGUCGGAUACUGGAUGGCUUGAAUUCGGGAGAGGGAUGCAGAAUUCCAGGUGUAGCGGUGAAAUGCGUAGAUAUCUGGAGGAACACCGGUGGCGAAGGCGGCUUGCUGGGCCUUACCUGACGCUGAGGAGCGAAAGCGUGGGGAGCGAACAGG